CUCACUUCCGAGCCGCUUGCUUCCCGUCCUCUUCGCUGUAUCUGUUACAUUCUUUCGCAGUUUGUAUCAAAGCAGAAGGGAGGAGAGGAGCCGUCUUCAGUAACAUCAGUAAACAGCAGAAAUGGCAGAAGCCCAUCAGGCCGUGGCGUUUCAGUUCACUAUCACUCCAGAGGGGAUCGACCUGCAGCUGUCCCAUCAGGCCCUGAGACAGGUCUAUCUGUCAGGCCUCCGCUCCUGGAAGAAACGCGUCACACGG